rnacentral:rRNA from 1 species
AGCAGCCGCGGUAAUUCCAGCUCCAAUAGCGUAUAUUAAAGUUGUUGCAGUUAAAAAGCUCGUAGUUGAAUUUCGGGAUUGACACAUCGGUCGUGCCUUAAGGGGUAUGAACUGGUGUAGUCAAUUUCUCACCUUCUGGAGAACCGCGAUGUCCUUAAUUGGGUGCCGCGAAGAACCAGGACCUUUACUUUGAAAAAAUUAGAGUGUUUAAAGCAGGCAUUUUUGCUUGAAUACAUUAGCAUGGAAUAAUAAAAUAGGACGGCAUGAUUCUAUUUUGUUGGUUUCUAGGAUCACCGUAAUGAUUAAUAGGGAUAGUUGGGGGCAUUAGUAUUCAAUUGUCAGAGGUGAAAUUCUUGGAUUUAUUGAAGACUAACUACUGCGAAAGCAUUUGCCAAGGAUGUUUUCAUUAAUCAAGAACGAAAGUUAGGGGAUCGAAGACGAUCAGAUACCGUCGUAGUCUUAACCAUAAACUAUGCCGACUAGGGAUCGGAUGAUGUUAAUUUUUUAAUGACUCAUUCGGCGCCUUACG